rnacentral:sRNA from 1 species
CUCAGCAGCCCACGUGCACCGAACGAAAUAGCCCGUAUAGAAUGAAAUCUCUGUAAACUCAAUUUUAAACUGCGAUGUUGGUUGGCAAUAAGUUAAAAGAGAUUCAGACCCAAAAAAUCACCGAAGUGAUUUCUUUCUGUGCAGGACACAGACACACAGCCAGUAGGAGAGAGGCCCGCAGAGCACGUAAUCAACGCAUGGACGUCAUCAGCUGUUCACUGCGGUGUCUUGUGUUUGGUUCGAGAGAGAACGGGGAAGCAGAGAAGGAGCUGGGGAGGGCUCCAUGGGCUGUGCAUGCCCCAGCCGCGUGCACAGCGCACACCAACCGACACACUCACAGACACACCCCAAAGCCGUGACUGAGUAGCUGACGUAGUUGUUGCCACGGAAGUCUGUGAAUAAUCGGCUGAAAAAAAUACUUUAAAACUGGCUCAAAACCUGGCAGACGCCCCUCAAACUGAAAUCUAAGACCUGGCCGCAUAUAUUUGCAUUAACUUUGGAAGUCUGACUUUAAGCAGACGGGGAUUUCAUUAAUAAACGAAAGGCAUAGUGCGAAAGCAGGAGAGUGUGGGAGCUCAACAGUUGACGGGGAGCAUUGCCAGGCCCGAGAAACGGGAAGAUAACAAAGAUGAGUCACGAAAAGCUGGCAUUUCAAGAUUCCCUUAUUCACCAGUGGCAUGUAACUCAAUUAAGUCGUCAAUUGAUUACAUUCGUUUCGUUUGAAAACCCUCCUAGGACACGGGUAAAUUCUACCUGGCAAUGCUCGCGUUUCGCCUGUAACAGUUUUCAAAGCAAAAAGGGGCUCGUGCACAGAGCACACACACCAAAGAGCGAGCGCCAGAAACAGCUGUGGUUAUUGGCGCUCUCUUGCGCAACAACAACGAAUAACUAGCACGCCAUACCCCACACCAGACUUGUGGGGCGACUGUUCACGCCGUGUAGGGUAUUCAGGGGUAGCAUGGGAGGAGCUAGAUUAGAUGCAAAUCUCUGAGAAGUUUUAGUUUUAUUUUUCUUCACAUUCCCUUCCAGAAAUUCUAUAUUUGUCAUUAGUAAAUUUAUGUCCUACUCCAUCCAACUCCUGCUGCUAUAUCGCCGCUUUUAGAGGGUAUGCCCAAGUGGACCCCUCGGAAAAUAACCUUCUUACUGGCUAAACAGCUCGCCUGCGUGUUUUGUGGUGUGCGUGAGUGUCUGUGUGGGUCCGUCUGGUAUCACGCGUUGACCUCAUGAUGUUCACGUGAACAUUUGUUGAUACUUUGCCUGAGCGGACGAGUGAGUGAGUGCGAGUGAGACGAGGCGAAAAUGCCAGCAGUCUGUGGCGUGCCUAUCUGUGCGCUUGUGUGCGUGUGGGGGUUUGCAGUACUUGCGUUUUUGUUUUUGUCUUUGCUUCGUGUUUGUUAUUGGAAUCGGAAUUCGUGUGUAAAUUUUGCGCGGAACUUGAAGCGAUG